GCUUGCAGCUAUACCACUUUGGACUGUGAUCUUGACACCAAUGUCCAAUCACAUAAGCAGGUGCAGGCCUGGUCAGUACUUGGACAGGAGACCUCCAAGGAAAAUUCAAGUGCUACAGGAA
ensembl:rRNA 5S_rRNA 5S ribosomal RNA